GACUCAACGCGGGAAAUCUUACCGGGUCCGGACACACUGAGGAUUGACAGGCAAUAUUAAUACAUCAGCUCUUUUUUAUUAAAGUCUGUGUAUUAUGUUAAAUAUGCUAGUCCUUUCAUGAUUAUGUGAUAGGUGGUGCAUGGCCGUUCUUAGUUCGUGGAGUGAUCUGUCUGCUUAAUUGCGUUUCACUAAGGGCCUAUAAAUUUACGUGUGUUGCGGCACUUUGACCCCUCUCUGAGCGCGCGUCUUAGUUUGCUUUGCUCGCACAAUUAGGUCCUGAAAGCAACGAACGUGACCGCAACCUCUUGUUGCCUUUAUUCCAAACAUGUUUGCCAUUUUAAAUGGUAUUCAUGAAAAAAGGCUUUUUAAACUAGAGGGACCGCUGUUACUUUCUUAAACCAGAGGAAGGUUGCGGCAAUAACAGGUCUGUGAUGCCCUUAGAUGUUCCGGGCUGCACACGUGCUACAAUGAUUAUUGCAGUGAGCAUCUCAUUUUUACACACCGCAUGCGCGAGUCCAUUUAUUCACCUCUCUGAGGCGCUUUAAAUGUGUACCUCUGCGCGCGGUAAAGCCUGCUUCGAGAGUAAGUGGGUAAUCAAUUAGAAGUAAUGAUUUCCUUUUUAGCACACAUAUAUACGGCGUCUAUGCCCGGGCUGCCUUGUUGUAGCUUUUGUGCGUAUAGAUGUUUUUUCCGUAUGUGCGAUUGUCAAUUCAUGGUGGGGACAGACCAUUGUUAAUUGUUGGUCUCGGUCUUAACUAGGAAUGCCUUGUACGGGUCUUUGGUUCAACAAACCACCCGGAAUACGUCCCUGCCCUUUGUACACACCGCCCGUCGCUCUUACCGAUGGACUUCUCUGUGAGUUUGAGGGACUGGGAACGCAGAUUUUAUCUGCACACCUAUGGAAACUUAAACGAACAGUGUGGUCUAAAG
rnacentral:rRNA from 1 species